GCCUAACACAUGCGAGUCGAGGGGUAGGGUUAGCUUGCUAACUUGAGACCGGCGCACGGGUGCGUAACGCGUAUGCAAUCUACCUUAUACUAAGGGAUAGCCCAGAGAAAUUUGGAUUAAUACCUUAUAGUUAAUAGAGUUGGCAUCGACUUUAUUAUAAAGAUUUAUUGGUAUAAGAUGAGCAUGCGUCCCAAUAGUUAGUUGGUAAGGUAACGGCUUACCAAGACGAUGAUGGGUAGGGGUCCUGAGAGGGAGAUCCCCCACACUGGUACUGAGACACGGACCAGACUCCUACGGGAGGCAGCAGUGAGGAAUAUUGGUCAAUGGAGGCAACUCUGAACCAGCCAUGCCGCGUGCAGGAUGAAGCAUCUAUGGUGUGUAAACUGCUUUUGUACGGGAAGAAAAAAAGCUACGUGUAGCUUACUGACGGUACCGUAAGAAUAAGGAUCGGCUAACUCCGUGCCAGCAGCCGCGGUAAUACGGAGGAUCCAAGCGUUAUCCGGAAUCACUGGGUUUAAAGGGUCCGUAGGCGGCUUAAUAAGUCAGCGGUGAAAGUUUUUGGCUUAACCAAAAAAUUGCCAUUGAUACUGUUAGGCUUGAAUUAUUGUGAAGUAACUAGAAUAUGUAGUGUAGCGGUGAAAUGCUUAGAUAUUACAUGGAAUACCAAUUGCGAAGGCAGGUUACUAACAAUAUAUUGACGCUGAUGGACGAAAGCGUGGGUAGCGAACAGGAUUAGAUACCCUGGUAGUCCACGCCGUAAACGAUGGAUACUAGCUGUUUGGAAGCAAUUCUGAGUGGCUAAGCGAAAGUGAUAAGUAUCCCACCUGGGGAGUACGGGCGCAA
rnacentral:rRNA from 1 species